AGCUCCCUGUCAAUUAUUAGAGGUUAAUCCUGCCCAGUGAUUUAUAUUCAACGGCCGCGGUAUCCUGACCGUGCAAAGGUAGCAUAAUCAUUUGCCUUUUAAUUGGAGGCUAGUAUGAAUGGACAAACGAAAUUAAACCUGUCUCCAUCUCUAACCCUAAAACUUGGCCUUCAGGUGAAGAGACCUGAAUCUCCCUAAAAGACAAGAAGACCCCGUAGAGUUUCAAUUAUUUGUCCCUAUCUUUACGGGAUUUUCAAUUUUGGUUGGGGCAACCGAGGAUUUUACACAACAUCCUCCACCUAUCAGACCCAACAGUCUUCUCUAAGACCCUAAAAUAUAGAUCUUAUAAAUAAACUACCUCGGGGAUAACAGGCUUAUCUUCCUAGAGAGUCCUUAUUGACAGGAAGGUUUGGCACCUCGAUGUUGGCUUAGAGUACCCCAGUAAUGCAGCAGUUACUAAUGGUCAGUUUGUUCAACUGUUAAAACUCU
rnacentral:rRNA from 1 species